rnacentral:lncRNA from 1 species
UUGGGUUUAAUCAAAAUUUAAUACCCUGUGAGGGGAAAUAUGAAGAAUACAAAUUCUCAGUAAUAGGCAAUAUGUCAAAAGCAGUAAUUGCCAGCUUUAAAUAGACCUUCCUGUUGUUCCUCUCCUUGUCGGCCUGUGCACCUGAUUUGUAGUCAGGAAAACAUGGCCAGAACCAUAUUAAGUCUCUGGAAAAACAAAGGAAAGAAAUAUGUAUCCUGUUGCAGGAAAAAUACAUCCAACACUCAACAGAACCUUAUUCUUUAAAAUGACAGAACAACAUAUUCAAAAGUAUUUAAAUCAGGGAAAUUUCCCCCAAGAAAAGUUGAAGGCUUUUAUUUUAUUCAGGGCCAGCCAGAUGAGUCUUCCAUGAGUGGUACCCACCUUCACAUUCACCCAGCUGAUACAUUUAAGAGGUGGAAGUGACUGUGAGUUCCAGAAAGCUUACUGUGGAGGAAAGCCAUCAUCUGAGGAGGAAAGUCAAUGGAUGGUUCAUCACCAUCGCUGGAAAAAUGAGCUUUGUCCGUCAAAGAAAGAAAUUCAGAUUAGUUCAGAGUGCUAUUGGGGCACUGAAGGGAAAACCAGAUCAAGUUGGCUUGGUUAGAGAUACCGUAAAGAUAGGAACUAGCACCCUAUUAGAUGUUCUGGUACACUGACUAAUUGGCUCA